UUGCCUUUUUUAUGCGCUUUAUUUGGAAAAAUAAUAAUAAUAAUUCAUCCAUUUCCAGUCAUGCAGUCAAAUUCCUAAUGUCUGAAAUCUGAAUAUUUGACUUUGACAUGUCCAGGUUCAAAGAGUCAAAAGGCACUAGAACUUUGUUCUCUUUUUAUUUUGUUAUUUGUUUAUUUGCAAGCUAAACCCGAGCCGAAGAUUCUGAACGCCCUUCAUCGACAGAGGAUACCGAAAGUCCGAAGCGAAACGAAAGAAACCUGUAUUUCUCUGCCGCUUCAACCUCGGCGACUCCGUCAUUUCCGAGGUGGCGCUGACACAAGCGCUGACAACUUUUCUGGGGGGUUACGCUUUCGACGGAAAUAGAGACUGUGUGAAAAAGACUCGCUUUCAGGCGUAAUUCUUUGUUCAGCUUGAGGUAACUUUUGGUUAGUGGGAGGGACUUCUUAGAUUAAAUUGCAAAAUUCACAAAGGAAUUUUUGUAAAUAAUCUCUUCCGGGAACAAGAACGCAAGUUUUGCUGUUAUUGGUCAUUUAUAUAAUUGAGCAGAAGUUGAACUUUGUCAAAUCCAGCUUGGCUUAUUCUCUCGAGGGUGCAAAAUUAUUUUUGCUGUCUUGGACAGAUUUGACAAAGAAGUUAAUAAUAUCUUCCACUGUAUUUCUGGGAUGGUCCUGUAUGUAAGAAUGGAUUGAGCAUUCACUUAUUUUGACAAUUUGGGGAUUUGAAUUGAUCGUAAAACAACUUUUGAAUUUUGAGCUUGGGAGCCUGAGGUUUGUUGUUGAGGUGGGAGUUUUGUUCCUAGUGAUGGAUGAACCUCAGGGCAGUUCUAGCACUCUGCCUCCUUUCCUGACGAAGACUUAUGAGAUGGUGGAUGAUCGUUCCUCAGAUUCGAUUGUUUCCUGGAGUGCCACUAACAGAAGUUUCAUAGUAUGGAAUCCGCCAGAAUUUGCAAGUGAGUUGCUACCAAGAUUCUUUAAGCACAAUAACUUCUCUAGUUUCAUCAGACAGCUCAACACAUAUGGUUUUAGAAAAGUUGAUCCAGAACAAUGGGAAUUUGCAAAUGAUGAUUUCAUAAGAGGUCAACCGCAUCUUUUGAAGAAUAUACAUAGACGAAAGCCAGUUCACAGCCAUUCUUUACAGAGUCUCCAAGGACAAGGAAGCGCUCCAUUAACAGAAUCAGAAAGACAGAGUUUGAGAGGCAAAAUAGAGAGGCUGAAACAUGAAAACGAACAACUUUGUCUUGAGUUAGAGAAACAUGAACAGGAGUGGCAAGUAAAUGAGAUUAAAAUAGGAUGCUCAAAGGAGAGAUUGGAAAAGUUGGGAAGGAAGCAACAAAAGAUGCUCUCUUCUGUUUCUAAAGUGUUGCAGAAACCUGGAACUGCCUCAAAUCUCUUGCAAUUGUCAGAAUCCCUGUAUAGAAAACGAAGGUUGCCAAGAGGUGGUUACUUUCGUGAUGAAGCUGUCAUCGAAGACGCUACUGAAACUUCGUCUGUGAUACCAAGAGAUAAUGCAGAUAUAACUUCUGUUCUGUCAUCAACUGUGGAGAGACUGGAACAGCUGGAGUCAUUACUGCUAUUUUGGGAGAACAUUGCUCAUGAUUUUAGUGAUUCCUUUGUUCAUAGCCAUUCAAAUAUGAAUCUCGAUGAAUCUACAAGUUGUGUUGAUAGUCCUGCUAUCUCUUGUAUGCAACCUGAUGACGAACUUCACCCUACAUCACCUGGAAUUGACAUGAACUCUGAGCCAGCUGGAGCUACUGUUUCUGAUCCUGCUUCAUCAAAAGAAAAACCUGUGGGAACAACCACUAUAGCAGCAGGCGUUAAUGAUGUAUUCUGGGAACAGUUCUUGACAGAGAAUCCUGGUUCCUCAGAAACACAGGAAGUACAGUCAGAACGAAAAGAUUCUGAUAGCAGAAAAAAUGAAGGAAAAACUAGUGACCGGACUAAACUUUGGUGGAGUGUGAGCGAUGUAAAUAACCUUUCAGAACAGAUGGGGCAUCUUAGUCAAACAGAGAAAACUUAAUAGUGGAUGGUUAAUCCAUUUAGCAUGCGAUGCCCUACAUUCACUUGUAAAAUUUAGGAGCAGGUACUUCAGAUUAUCCUUAAGUUUUGGGUGCUCUUGUUUCUUGCUAUCAGUGUCAAAUGGGGGAGGAGAAACGCAUGUACAUUGGAUUGAGCUUAUGCAUAAUAUUAUAACUGGCAAUUGCUUUUGAUGACAUACUUGCAACAGAUGCGGUUUUUUGCUUAACUUGAUAAUUGGACCUUGUCUUUUCUAGACCGGAGUAGAUAUUUCUUGAUUGUAGAAAUUUAGUCCGCGAGAAGCUGGUCUGCUUCCUCAAUAAUAUUAGUCGCUCAGUUUAUUAAAAAUUUGAGGAUGAUGGGAGAUUUUUUUUCUGUAUCCAUUAUUUGCCCUUUUGCCCCCGAGUGGAAGGGGGUUUGUAAUUGAGCCAUUGAGUUACUACUCAAAGAAUGUGUAUAGACAUCUGAAAGGAUUACUCCUGAUUAACUUAA